UACAAGUUAAUAGGCGCAUUGCAUACAACAAUGGAUUGAAAGUUGUACAACCAAAGACAGAGGAGAGUUUUGUGGGCUCGGAACGACAUCCAAAUCACAAGGCUUGACAGGCCUGAUGACCAGCCUUGCGGUGAGGCCCAAGAGUUUGAUUUGGUCCGCAACAUGCUCAUCGCUGCUGUAGAAGAGCGCUACAAAGAUGCAGCUCAGUACCGAGACCAGCUUUUCAUGUUGCGGUCAAAGAAAAAGAACGCAAUCUAGCAGGGCAUGAGCGUAUGGCUCGUGAGCUCUCCGACUUAGUGCAGCAUUCAGCUCGUCAGGCCUUCGGGGGCGUACAUAUUAGGAGGCUUUUGGCUGAAAAAUAUGAAUCUUUGGCAAAGAUCAAGAAGCACCAUGUAAAUAGUUGCAGAAACUUAUGUAUGUAUAUAUAGAUGAACGCGGAGCAUAACUCCGGAUGCUUC